AUUGAACGCUGGCGGCAUGCCUUACACAUGCAAGUCGAACGGUAACGGGCCUUCGGGUGCCGACGAGUGGCGAACGGGUGAGUAAUAUAUCGGAACGUACCUUUCAGUGGGGGAUAACGUAGCGAAAGUUACGCCAAUACCGCAUAUUCUGUGCGCAGGAAAGCAGGGGACCUUCGGGCCUUGCGCUGCUUGAGCGGCCGAUAUCAGUCUAGCUAGUUGGUGAGGUAAAGGCUAACCAAGGCGACGAUCUGUAGCGGGUCUGAGAGGAUGAUCCGCCACACUGGAACUGAGACACGGUCCAGACUCCUACGGGAGGCAGCAGUGGGGAAUUUUGGACAAUGGGGGCAACCCUGAUCCAGCCAUGCCGCGUGAGUGAAGAAGGCCUUCGGGUUGUAAAGCUCUUUCGGCCGGGAAGAAAUCGUAUGGGCUAAUACCCUGUGCGGAUGACGGUACCGGCAUAAGAAGCACCGGCUAACUACGUGCCAGCCGCCGCCGUAAGAC
rnacentral:rRNA from 1 species